CAACCCUUAAGCCCCUGUUGCUUAGCGUUGGGAGCCUACCCGUGCGGUAGCUCCCCAAAGACAGUGGCGGAGUCGGUCGCGAUCCCAGACGUAGUACAUCGUAGCGUCUGCGGUCCGCCUGGCGCCCUGCCGUAAAACACACCACAUCGCUGAA
rnacentral:misc_RNA from 1 species